rnacentral:lncRNA from 1 species
UGUGAUUUGUCCCCACAAAACACUUCAUCACAAUUUCUUCCUAUCUACUCAAAGGGCCUUUGCUGCACAAUACUAAAUGUAAGAAUUCACUGAUAAAUGUAUCUAUGUACUGGCUCACUGGGAAAACUUCAGAAAUUCAUAUAGACAUGUGAGCUCAGCUACUCAGCAGCCCCUCUGCCUGGGGGAUAAUUCCUGGCAUCCGGAUACUUGAGUGCCAGACAGGUAGCCAUUCCAGAAAUAACAAACCCAGAUGAAGACAAAAGGGUGUGAUUAACUUGGCUGGGAAACAGGGAAAUGUAAAUAUCUCUUUUGUUACACUUGAUGGGUGCUUGGUGGAGGGCAAGGAGAACCCUGGGGCAGGGUCCAGGAUGCUCAGAUUACUGCCACCAGACCUCUCCUUUCAAGAUGUAACCAUGAUGUAGUUUGGGGGGAAUGUAAUACGGGGAUUAGCAGCUAAUAGAGUUUGGGUGCUCUUUUGUUCGGGGCUUCCAUCUUGUUCCACCUUGUGGCAGGUGGGAGUCCUGUCAUGAUAGUCUUCAAUAAAGACCAAGCCUACUGGCUGCUGUUUUGCUCUGGUAUUCCUGGCUGGUGCCUUGUUUUUUGUCCAAUGGAGCCCUCAGAUUUCUCUGUUAACAAGGCUUAAUGUUAUUUCUGCAGUUGCUCCUUAGCUUCAGCCAGUGUUGCUCAAAAGCAAAGUAAAAUUUUAAUCUGGAAAACCAAAUAAAUAAAAUUUAAAAUAGAUAGAUAAAAAGUUGCUUUCACAUUUCUGCUCACUUGUAAUGCGAUGCCCGGUGGCUUGUUCCCCUGGAGGUACAGAAACCUUUGAACUGAUCUCCGCCCAAAGUGUGUCCAAAAUUUGUUAACAACUUUUAUGAUAUAAAAGUGUGUUUGUGUUGUCAAAUGUUUCAUAAGCCACUAAAAUAGUGGCCUCAAUUUGCAAGCAGUUUGUUAAGAUAUUUCAUGCUGGUCUCUGGCAACAGUUUUCCUUUUUGGAUUUCCCACAGAAAUGGUAAAUCCGGAUUAAAUCUGGUUGGAGAAGUUUGGGCUAGCAAAAUGUGUGGGUGCUGCAACAAACAAACAAACCAACACCUUUGCAUGCAGGAACAGUGGCGAUUCCAUAAUAAACAUUCAUUCGCCAGUAAGUACCCUUUAUACCAUCAUAAGCUUGCAGCAGCCAUUUGUGCUGUUCACCAGAUAACUGCCAUAUGACUGGAAUGUAAUUCAGAAAUAUGUGCAGCUCAGUAAAUAAUAAUAAUAAUAAUAAUAAUAAUAAUAAUAAUUUAUUUGUACCCUUCCCUCCUCAUCCGGAGCUGGGCUCAGAGUGGCUAGCAUCAUAUAAAUAAUACAAUAUGCAAUAUAAAAACAAGCAAUCAGUCGAUUAAAAUGCAUCCCAAAAUUAAUUAAAAUAAAUUAAAGUUAAAGUUAAAACGGGACAAAUGACAAUCCUCAGGUUAAAAUUGAAAGUGAUUAAUGUUAAGUUGUGGGUGAACAUAUCAGAUGACACAGCGAUUCUUCAAACAGCUCUUGUUUAUUCACAGGCCAGAACAGAACUGAACUGAACAGCAAACAGCUCAGCCGGCCUGCUUUUAUAGGCAGCUGGGUGUCAACAUUGUAGCAACAACAACCCAGGGUUUCCCACCUAAAGUAACUGACGUGGACUUGAGUGAAAACUAUAUGCACGAUACUCCUGGUGGCCAGGGUCAGAACUUCAAUACAUAACAAUUAAUACUCGCCAGG